AGAACGAACGCUGGCGGCAGGCUUAACACAUGCAAGUCGAACGCUUCCUUCGGGGAGAGUGGCAGACGGGUGAGUAACACGUGGGAACGUACCCCUUUGUUCGGAAUAACCCUGGGAAACUAGGGCUAAUACCGGAUACGGCCGAGAGGCGAAAGGUUUACCGCAGAGGGAUCGGCCCGCGUCCGAUUAGCUUGUUGGUGAGGUAAUGGCUCACCAAGGCAUCGAUCGGUAGCUGGUCUGAGAGGAUGACCAGCCACAUUGGGACUGAGACACGGCCCAAAACUCCUACGGGAGGCAGCAGUGGGGAAUAUUGGACAAUGGGCGCAAGCCUGAUCCAGCCAUGCCGCGUGAGUGAUGACGGCCUUAGGGUUGUAAAGCUCUUUUACCUGGGAAGAUCAUGACGGUACCAGGAGAAUAAGCCCCGGCUAACUUCGUGCCAGCAGCCGC
rnacentral:rRNA from 1 species